GGGAUUGUGGCUCAGUGGUAGAGCUCCUGCCUCACACGUGUGAGGCACUGGGUUCGAUCCUCAGCACCA
rnacentral:tRNA from 1 species